rnacentral:rRNA from 1 species
CCUACGGGUGGCUGCAGUGAGGAAUAUUGGUCAAUGGCCGAGAGGCUGAACCAGCCAAGUCGCGGGAGGGAAGACGGCCCUACGGGUUGUAAACCUCUUUUGUCGGGGAGCAAAGCGAGUCACGUGUGACUCAUUGAGAGUACCCGGAGCACAAGCAUCGGCUAACUCCGUGACAGCAGCCGCGGUAAUACUGAGGAUGCGAGCGUUGUCCGGAUUUAUUGGGUUUAAAGGGACCGUAGAUGGGUUGUUAAGUCAGUUGUGAAAGUUUGCGGCUCAACCGUAAAAUUGCAAUUGAAACUGGCAGUCUUGAGUACAGGUGAGGUAGGCGGAAUUCGUGGUGUAGCGGUGAAAUGCUUAGAUAUCACGAAGAACCCCGAUUGCGAAGGCAGCUUACUAAACUGUGACUGACAUUGAUGCUCGAAAGUGUGGGUAUCAAACAGGAUUAGAUACCCGAGUAGUC